rnacentral:rRNA from 1 species
CAAGGCACCUUCGGGUGCCCUAGAGCGGCGAACGGGUGAGUAACACGUGAACAAUCUGCCCUUACGUUCCGGAUAAUUGGUCGAAAGACCUUGUAAUACGGGGGAGGAUCGGUCUUUGGCAUCUUAGACCGAGGGAAGUCGCAAGACGCGCAAGGAGGAGUUCGCGGAUUAUCAGCUAGUUGGUGAGGUAACGGCUCACCAAGGCUACGACGAUUAGCUGGUCUGAGAGGAUGGUCAGCCACAUUGGAACUGAGAUACUGUCCAGACUCCUACGGGAGGCUGCAGUCGAGAAUCUUGGUCAAUGCACGAAAGUGUGAACCAGCGACGCCGCGUGAAGGAUGAAGGCCCUCUGGGUCGUAAACUUCUUUUAGGGGAGAAGAAUCAAUGACGGUAUCCCCUGAAUAAGCCACGGCUAACUACGUGCCAGCAGCCGCGGUAAUACGUAGGUGGCAAGCGUUGUCCGGAUUUACUGGGCGUAAAGCGAACGCAGGCGGACCUUUAAGUAGGAAGUGAAAGGUUGGAGCUCAACUCUAACACUGCUCCCUAUACUGGAGGUCUUGAGUGCCGGAGAGGAAGACGGAACAAGUUGUGUAGCGGUGAAAUGCGUUGAUAUAACUUGGAACACCAAUGGCGAAAGCAGUCUUCUGGACGGAUACUGACGCUCAGGUUCNAAAGCCAAGGUAGCAAACAGGAUUAGAUACCCUGGUAGUCUUGGCCUUAAACGAUGUUCACUAGGUGUUGGGGGGUAACCCCUCGGGUGCCGCAGCUAACGCAUUAAGUG